rnacentral:rRNA from 1 species
UACGUAGGGCGCGAGCGUUGUCCGGAUUUAUUGGGCGUAAAGAGCUCGUAGGCGGUUUGUCGCGUCUGCUGUGAAAUCCUCUGGCUUAACUGGGGGCGUGCAGUGGGUACGGGCAGACUGGAGUGCGGUAGGGGAGACUGGAAUUCCUGGUGUAGCGGUGGAAUGCGCAGAUAUCAGGAGGAACACCGGUGGCGAAGGCGGGUCUCUGGGCCGUUACUGACGCUGAGGAGCGAAAGCAUGGGGAGCGAACAGGAUUAGAUACCCUGGUAGUCCAUGCCGUAAACGUUGGGAACUAGGUGUGGGGUCCAUUCCACGGGUCCUGUGCCGUAGCUAACGCAUUAAGUUCCCCGCCUGGGGAGUACGGCCGCAAGGCUAAA